AGCUUCAACAUCCCCGUAGGUCGGGCGCGCAAGCGUAGUGGAUCUACUGGAGCC
ncrna:unclassified sequences nadA RNA